GGAGAGGAGAGGAGAGGAGAGGAGAGGAGAGGAGAGGAGAGGAGAGGAGAGGAGAGGAGAGGAGAAGAGAAGGGAACCAUCCUCUCACUAUGGUCCCCUCUCCUUCCUUCCCAGGUACAAAGACAAGGACUUUGGCAGCUGGUCGGGUUCUGAGUGGAUUGGGAAGUCAUUUCUCUUCUAUGGACCAUCAUUUCUCAAAAAGAGAGAAAGCUGAUUGACACAUUAUGCUACAGUGGAACAUUUAAGAAACGCGUCUGUGUGAGAAGUCCACAUCUGUCAAUACCAGGCCCCCAGUGGUUUCCAGCUGGGGAAUGGCAGUGGACUACAGACCCUAUGUGCACUCUCAACUGGCCUGUGGGUGCUGGGUGAGGAACAGAAGUGACAGAACAACAAACCUGGAAGGCUUCCUUUUGAGGAUGAGCUGGCGAUAAGAGAGGGUUCUUCUCAAUCAGGAACUGUCAAGUUGUGUCACUCAAAAGUCUCCAGGCAAACCUAGGAUUCUCAUCCAGCUUGCCUCUGGCCUUACCUCUGGAAGAUUCUAAUUGUAUACUUUAAAUGCAAAACUUCUUGCGCAAAUAAAGCUAGAGCUGACUUGGUUUUCUUGUAAUCAAUACACUAUCUCAAAGGGAAACAUCUCAAAUAAUCCAAGUGGAAAUACCUAGGAGAGAUUUACAGUGAAAGCACUACAGUGUUACAGAGACCUAGAGGUUUGGAUGGUGGCUCAGCAGUUAAGAGCAGCUAC
rnacentral:lncRNA from 1 species